GGCAUGUGUGUACUAACUUAUCUGGGUAAAGAGAAAGCUGUUCCUUUAAACUGUGUUUGCUGUGACUCUGGAAACUGAGCAAACAAAAUCCGAGGGACACUUUACUCUCAAGCAAAACUGACAGGAAGGUACAAGGACUGAAGGACAGCGAACCCCUGUAGGACAUACCUGUCUCUGGAUUCACAACUGGAUUGCAAAUCACUAACAAUUUGGUGGAGUUUAAUUCAGACUUUUUGGACAUAUCUCAUCCAAAUGGCAAAGGAGAGACUGGCUCAGCCCCUGAGUGUCAGACUGCUACUUUGGUCUCCACGAGCUUCGGGGAAGUGUUUGCCUGCAAAGCACAUUCAGCUCUAAUUCAGAUAAAGCUGAUGGAGUUGUGGAGGCUACCUGACUUCUGCUGCUCUGGCGCUGAUCGACUGUCUCAGUUGCCAUAGAGACAAGCUCUGGAAGCCAUGG